ACAUACUGUACAGGUUUGUAGCCUAGGUGUGUGUAGUAGGCUAUACCAUCUAGGUUUGUAUAAGCACAUUCUUAUGAUUGUACAAAGAUGAAAUUGUCUAACAACACAUUUCUCAAAACCUAGCCCUGUGGUUAAGUGACGCAUGGCUGCAUAUAACAUUUAGUGGGGGGGUGUAAAAUAGGUGGAACUCAAAAGUUGAAGUAGUAUUUUUUUUUUGUUCACAGGUCAGUUUAGGGGCUGGUGCAAAGGAUGAAUUGCACAUUGUUGAAGCAGAGGCAAUGAAUUAUGAAGGCAGUCCAAUUAAAGUAACACUGGCAACUUUGAAAAUGUCUGUACAGCCAACGGUUUCCCUUGGGGGCUUUGAAAUAACACCACCAGUGGUCUUAAG
rnacentral:sRNA from 1 species